CGAGCAUGUGCUAGGUAAGGCAUAUGGUUACGUCAGAGGUCGGGGUCAUGGACCAAAACCAAAUAGAAGGGCUUACUCAAGCGCAUCAAGCUCAACUCAGCAUGUAGUGGAAGAAUUGGCCUCUACAAAGGAGAUUGUUGCUACGCAGCAAACUCAAAUUGAGGCUCAACAAUCUCAACUUGAAGCUCAACAGAAGAAGAUCGAUUGGCUACAAAGUGUCGUGUCUAACUUGGUUGGCAUUUCACCUCCUAUGGACGGCACUAGUGCAAUAGGGCUAGGUUUCACAACUGAGCGGCCAAUGCCAUCUGACGGAAUAGGUUCGCUGAUAUCUAACACUGUAGAAAGGAUGUCAAGUUUUCCAAGAUCAUUUGCAAGUCAUUUGAGGCCAGGAUAUAGACCUGCUCCAACUUCUUCUUCUGAUGGCAAUGGCUCUCUGGUGUCGGAUGGAGGGUCCAGGUAUUCAUGAUCAGGUUGCUAGCUUUAUUUUAUGUUGUUUACC